GGAUCGGUCCUGUGUGACGGGCCGCCGUGAACCAUGUCAGGCGGGGAACCGAGCAGCAUUAAGCGACCGGCUCCGUGCGCCGCAGGUAACCGGUCUGUC
rnacentral:SRP_RNA from 1 species